rnacentral:misc_RNA from 1 species
GCAGCAACUAAUAUGAUGAUGGCCCAGGCCUGUAACUUCAUUUAUAUCGAAACCCACCUCUUGACAGAUUAUGUUGAGAAACUCUGCAACAGCCUCACUUCCAAGCCAAUGCUCAAUUGUGCCACAGUAAUGGACCUGGACCUGGGGUGAGUUGAUCAAACUAUCCAUGAAAAUCACAUAUGAGGUAACGCCAGUCCAGAUG